rnacentral:rRNA from 1 species
CAGCAGCCGCGGGAAUACGAAGGGGGCUAGCGUUGCUCGGAAUGACUGGGCGUAAAGGGCGCGUAGGCGGAUUGCACAGUCAGAUGUGAAAUCCCGGGGCUCAACCCCGGAACUGCAUCCGAUACUGCCGCGCUAGAGGAUUGGAGAGGUAGCUGGAAUUCUUGGUGUAGCAGUGAAAUGCGUGGAGAUCAAGAGGAACACUCGUGGCGAAAGCGAGCUACUGGACAAUAUCUGACGCUGAGGCUCGAAGGCCAGGGUAGCGAAAGGGAUUAGAUACCCCGGUAGUCCCUGUCUCUUAUAC